AGCCCUUCGGGGUGGAUUAGUGGCGAACGGGUGAGUAACACGUGGGCAAUCUGCCCUUCACUCUGGGACAAGCCCUGGAAACGGGGUCUAAUACCGGAUAACACUCUGUCCCUCAUGGGGCGGGGUUAAAAGCUCCGGCGGUGAAGGAUGAGCCCGCGGCCUAUCAGCUUGUUGGUGGGGUAAUGGCCUACCAAGGCGACGACGGGUAGCCGGCCUGAGAGGGCGACCGGCCACACUGGGACUGAGACACGGCCCAGACUCCUACGGGAGGCAGCAGUGGGGAAUAUUGCACAAUGGGCGAAAGCCUGAUGCAGCGACGCCGCGUGAGGGAUGACGGCCUUCGGGUUGUAAACCUCUUUCAGCAGGGAAGAAGCGAAAGUGACGGUACCUGCAGAAGAAGCGCCGGCUAACUACGUGCCAGCAGCCGCGGUAAUACGUAGGGCGCAAGCGUUGUCCGGAAUUAUUGGGCGUAAAGAGCUCGUAGGCGGCUUGUCACGUCGGAUGUGAAAGCUCGGGGCUUAACCCCGAGUCUGCAUUCGAUACGGGCUAGCUAGAGUGUGGUAGGGGAGAUCGGAAUUCCUGGUGUAGCGGUGAAAUGCGCAG
rnacentral:rRNA from 1 species